rnacentral:misc_RNA from 1 species
AAGUCGUAACAAGGUUUCCGUAGGUGAACCUGCGGAAGGAUCAUUAACACUUAAAAUAAAAACAAUUUCCCUUUUGAAUCCCUCUCUUUUCUUUUCUCUUUCUCUUCUCUUCGGAGGGGAGACUGAGGAAGUCAAGAGAUUUUCAAAUUUAAUUUGAACAAAAAUGUGUAACCUUACUUUUUUACUUAUGGAUUUGAGGGCACAAGUGAGGGGGGGUUUUCUCUCUCUCUCUCUUUGUGGUUCUCAGAUUUUCUCAUAAACCAGUUAAACCCAAAAACAAAAUAUGGCGUAUCUCAAAGGGACUUUUUGUCUCUCUGACGAUCCCCCAUAGUUAAACCAAAAACAAAAAACCAAAAACAAAAUAAAAACAAAAUAAAACACAACUCUUAACAAUGGAUAUCUUGGUUCUCGC